rnacentral:rRNA from 1 species
UACGUAGGGGGCAAGCGUUGUCCGGAUUUAUUGGGCGUAAAGAGCUCGUAGGUGGUUCGGUAAGUCGGAUGUGAAAUCUCCAGGCUCUACCUGGAGGGGUCAUUCGAUACUGCCGUGACUAGAGGUCGGUAGGGGAGUGUGGAAUUCCUGGUGGAGCGGUGAAAUGCGCAGAUAUCAGGAGGAACACCCGUAGCGAAGGCGGCACUCUGGGCCGAUACUGACACUGAGGAGCGAAAGCAUGGGGAGCGAACAGG